GCUCUGGUAGCUCAGUUGCCAGAGCAGUGGGAUGUUACCCCACGGUCCCGGGUUCAAAUCCCGGCCGACGCG